rnacentral:rRNA from 1 species
GUGGGGAAUAUUGGACAAUGGGGGGAACCCUGAUCCAGCCAUGCCGCGUGUGUGAAGAAGGCCUUUUGGUUGUAAAGCACUUUAAGCGAGGAGGAGGCUACCGAGAUUAAUACUCUUGGAUAGUGGACGUUACUCGCAGAAUAAGCACCGGCUAACUCUGUGCCAGCAGCCGCGGUAAUACAGAGGGUGCAAGCGUUAAUCGGAUUUACUGGGCGUAAAGCGCGCGUAGGUGGCCAAUUAAGUCAAAUGUGAAAUACCCGAGCUUAACUUGGGAAUUGCAUUCGAUACUGGUUGGCUAGAGUAUGGGAGAGGAUGGUAGAAUUCCAGGUGUAGCGGUGAAAUGCGUAGAGAUCUGGAGGAAUACCGAUGGCGAAGGCAGCCAUCUGGCCUAAUACUGACACUGAGGUGCGAAAGCAUGGGGAGCAAACAGGAUUAGAUACCCGGGUAGUCC